GCUGCGUAUGUCGAUCGGCUGCGCGGGCGGUAAAUAUCUCCUCCCCCCGCCCAUGCCACCGCCUGUUAAUUCGUCGGCCCGCGGAGGGUAAUUUCGGGAUUUCAUUUUUUGUGGCGCUGCGUGUCGCCCGUGGAUUGGUCGCGGCCUGGCUACUCCUCCUCCCAUUCGCCCCGCUCGCUUUGCCUCCGCCGCUCCCCCUUCGUCGCUCCCCCUGCGCUCCUGCUCCGGAUCUCGUCCUCCUCCUCUAACAGCCGUUCGUCCUCCUCGGUGCGCCGUUCUCAGUGGCGCGGCGGAGGAUCUGUCUUUGGAGUCGCCGGAGAGGCCUUUGAGAUGGCCCAGGUUUUGCUGGUUGAUCCGUCCUGAUUAGGACCUGUCUGUGGUUCUGGUUAUCUAGCUGGUGGGUCGUGCCGCUGCUGGUGUACGGACUGUCUCGCUGGUUUCCUUGCAGUGAUGUACACCGUUGAGUUCCAGAAGCGGGGACUGCCUCACGCGCAUAUACUUGUCUGGAGGAGAGGGGGCAGCGAUGGCGAUGGCUGGUUUGCAGGGUCUUGUUGUGGGGAACAGAAACCCGACAGUCCGUGUGUAUGUCUCGCGACACUGGCAUCAUCGUGGGACCACUGAUAAUGGUCCUAUCAAACGCACUGACAUGGUCCUUCUGGAUACCCGGGGCAACCACAUCUAUGCUGAGAUCGGUUCAAUAGGUUCACCACGGCCAGUCCUAAUACCAACCCAGAGGCUCAGUUUCCAUUCUGCACCUACUCACUCACUGAACUGUCACGCCUGCCUGCCCCUCUCGAUGCACCUGAAUUCUUCACAGAUGUACUUGGAGUUAUCACUGGUGUCUCUGAUGUUGUUCAGUAUCAUAGCUCGAACAGGAGCGAGCCUUCCACAAAGCAUACUAUCAACAUCAAGGACCUAAGUGGAUACCAGAUAACUGUUGUAUUCUGGGGUGAACGUGCCACGACCUUUGAAGGAGACUACAUUAUCGAGCUAGGAAAAUCUGAACUAGUUGUUGCACUGUUUGUUGGGACUCUGGUAAAAAACUCCAUGUUCAAGAAUUCAUCCGAUUAACCAGUUAACUUGCCGAUUAAUCCCUACUCAUAGGGUCACCGAGUAGCCGAUAAACCGAAAAAUCAUCCGAUUAAUUGAUUAAAUGUCCGAUUAACUUGCCGAUUAAUCCUCUACUCACUAACCAACCGAGCAGCUACCAGUUAACGAUUUCCUCAACAAUGAAAAAACUACGAAGGUCGAAGGGGUGUGAGCGGGAGCGCGGCAUGUCGGUGGUACAUAAAUGACGACAUUUCUGAGAUGAUAGGCUUCCAUACGAGGCUCCAUGGCAAGUCCUCUCCCAUAGAAAAGAUUGUUCUUCAGGGACAGACGUCAGCUGAAGUGAGCGCCUAGGUUGAUCUACAGACCAAAACAGUUAGUGAACUUCUGGCCCUGCACAUCUACAAGAACCAGGACGUGCGUUUCCUUUGCUAGGUUACCUUAACUGGGUUGGCUUCCGGCCAGAGCUACUGGUUUAUGUCAUGUGCAAAGUGCCACAAAUCUGCCCAGCCAUAUAGUACUGUCUACAAGUGUGCUGGUGUAGAUUGUUCCUGCACCGAUGCAGUACCGAGGUAUCGGAUAUGUUUCGUAGGUGCUGACGACACAGGGGAAGCUGAGUUCGUCCUGUUUGAAAGGGCGGGAAAAGAUCUUGUUGGCAAAUCUUUGAUUACUCUGAUCCGUGAAGGAAAAUCCAACCGUGUUCCACUUGAUGAGAUAGUUCGGAUGGCACGUGGGGAUGACACUGUGCCCCGAGAAAUUACUGCACUCAUUGGACAAAGAUGUGCAUUUGUGGUGUCUAUCUCCUCAAAGAGCUUCUUACCUAACACUGAAGUGACCUCAUUCCAAGUCAAUAGGCUAGAUGUGCCCAAUGAAACAUCCGUGAGAAAUGCGGUUGUGUAUCAUAAGGCAAAUUCACCCAGGCAAUCUGAGAGUGAUACUGGUUCUCUCACUGGUGCUGGGUUAUCAACUGGUGCGCCGCUCACUGGGUCCAUUCCACCAUUAUCACUCACAGAUAGCGGGAAUGCUGACGAGAUUGUUCAUGAGGGAUCAUACUCAAAGGAGCUUGCCACUCCUGAAGCCAAUAAGAAUCGUUCUUCACCAGCUUCUGUCAACAAAAGCAAGUGGUGUGCCUAAGUCUGGGCUGCGUAAACCUCUGUUUUCCGAUGGUCGUGCUCAGGGGCCUGCAAAGAUGGUUGGCGGCUCCGCUGUUCUCGGUGAUGAGCUUGCUGCUGCCUCAAGAUCAACCGAAGGCCUGGUGGAAGAUGAAGACGAGGCUUCUGCGGCCAAAAGGGCCAAGCUGUAGAUCAGCCGCCCUUAGGCAGGAAGUUCUUUUGGAGCAUAGGGCGGUUGUUAGGUGUGCGCUCGAAAUGAUGGCCCAGUAGAUGGAUGACUCGAUGUGGGUUAGAUGGUGAAGCUUCUCUUUAGGUCUAUCGCCCCUUUUGUCGUGCUGUGUUGUUUAUGAUGUGAUGUUCCGGUCUACCAGUCUCAAAAAACUUCAGUCUGCUGCUUGUGGGUGAACAUUCGCUGUCGGUAUUAGGAUCAGCGUUGGCCUUUGCUAUUGUGUGGUGUUUGCUUAGCUUCUGGUUGCUGGUGAAUGUAAAGAGAAGCUUGGCUAUCUUAUUUAGUAUGCCCGUUGUCCAUGCUAUGGUCUAUGUUGAUGUAUGCGGUCUUUGUGAAUUUGGGUUAUACCUGUUGCCCAUUGUGAAUUAAUCGUGCUAUUCGAACUGGUUCUGCUGCUGGAUAGAUUGCCUAAUCAAAUUUAACUGGCAGUUGUGGUGCCCCUCGAUGUUGUUUAUGGUUUGUAUUUGUGUUUUACAAGUCUUUACAAACUUCUACUCUGUUCUGAUGGUCCUUUCUUAAUAUAUUUAUUUUCCUGUUAUAGUUGUCUCUCCAAU
rnacentral:rRNA from 1 species